rnacentral:tRNA from 1 species
GGGGUUGUAACUCAGUUGGUAGAGUGUCUGCCUGAAGAGCAGAAGGUCAGUGGUUCGAUCCCACUCAGCCCCACCA